rnacentral:rRNA from 1 species
AUGGAGGUAGUUUGUUGGAAUGUGAGGGGGCUCAAUAGCCCACCCAAGAAAAAGGCGCUUAGGGAGUUCAUGGACACGGUGCGUGUCGCAAUUGUGUGUAUCUUGGAGUCCAAACUAGAUAGGGUUGACAAAUUUGUUAUUAUGCAAUGCCUAGGGCCUUCUUACGAUGGCUUUGCUUACCUUCCGGCGUCAGACACGAGAGGUGGCAUCAUCAUUGGCUGGGACUCU